rnacentral:lncRNA from 1 species
GGGACCUUUAGGUGAGUUUUGACAUUGGAGUUAAGAUAAUUAAGCUUAAGUGCUGAAAUUUUAGUGAAUUGAUGGAUUUUGAUGGAUUUUGGAUGUAGAUCUUUCGAGUAGCUUGGUUGCUGGUUGUGGAUGAUUCCAGCUGAGACUUCCAGCAAUUGUGGCCUUCUUGCUGCCAGGGAAUUGCUCUCGAGGUGGGUUUGCAUCGGAUUACUCCUAAGUAAUAAGUAGAUAUAUAGUCGACAUGUAUGUUUUGUUGUUCAGUCUACAAUGUGAUUAGAUUAAAUUCAGUGAUAAGCUAUGGCUGUAAUCUGAAUUUAAG